UGCUUCGCUGACGAGUGGCGGACGGGUGAGUAAUGUCUGGGAAACUGCCUGAUGGAGGGGGAUAACUACUGGAAACGGUAGCUAAUACCGCAUAACGUCGCAAGACCAAAGAGGGGGACCUUCGGGCCUCUUGCCAUCGGAUGUGCCCAGAUGGGAUUAGCUUGUAGGUGGGGUAACGGCUCACCUAGGCGACGAUCCCUAGCUGGUCUGAGAGGAUGACCAGCCACACUGGAACUGAGACACGGUCCAGACUCCUACGGGAGGCAGCAGUGGGGAAUAUUGCACAAUGGGCGCAAGCCUGAUGCAGCCAUGCCGCGUGUAUGAAGAAGGCCUUCGGGUUGUAAAGUACUUUCAGCGGGGAGGAAGGGAGUAAAGUUAAUACCUUUGCUCAUUGACGUUACCCGCAGAAGAAGCACCGGCUAACUCCGUGCCAGCAGCCGCGGUAAUACGGAGGGUGCAAGCGUUAAUCGGAAUUACUGGGCGUAAAGCGCACGCAGGCGGUUUGUUAAGUCAGAUGUGAAAUCCCCGGGCUCAACCUGGGAACUGCAUCUGAUACUGGCAAGCUUGAGUCUCGUAGAGGGGGGUAGAAUUCCAGGUGUAGCGGUGAAAUGCGUAGAGAUCUGGAGGAAUACCGGUGGCGAAGGCGGCCCCCUGGACGAAGACUGACGCUCAGGUGCGAAAGCGUGGGGAGCAAACAGGAUUAGAUACCCUGGUAGUCCACGCCGUAAACGAUGUCGACUUGGAGGUUGUGCCCUUGAGGCGUGGCUUCCGGAGCUAACGCGUUAAGUCGACCGCCUGGGGAGUACGGCCGCAAGGUUAAAACUCAAAUGAAUUGACGGGGGCCCGCACAAGCGGUGGAGCAUGUGGUUUAAUUCGAUGCAACGCGAAGAACCUUACCUGGUCUUGACAUCCACAGAACUUUCCAGAGAUGGAUUGGUGCCUUCGGGAACUGUGAGACAGGUGCUGCAUGGCUGUCGUCAGCUCGUGUUGUGAAAUGUUGGGUUAAGUCCCGCAACGAGCGCAACCCUUAUCCUUUGUUGCCAGCGGUCCGGCCGGGAACUCAAAGGAGACUGCCAGUGAUAAACUGGAGGAAAGGGGGGAUGACGUCAAGUCAUCAUGGGCCUUACACACAGGGGU
rnacentral:rRNA from 1 species